rnacentral:misc_RNA from 1 species
UCCAGUUUAACACUGGCAGUCCCUCUAGAGUGCCCAACUUAAUGAUGGCAACAAGAGGCGUGGGUUGCGCUCGUUACGGGACUUAACCCAACAUCUCACGACACGAGCUGACGACAGCCAUGCAGCACCUGUCUCCCUGUCGUAUUGCUACGAAAGCCGAUUUUCAUCGGUUGUCAGGGGAUGUCAAGACCAGGAUAAGGUUCUUCGCGUUGCGUCGAAUUGAACCACAUGCUCCACUGCUUGUGCGGGUCCCCGUCAAUUUCUUUGAGUUUUAAUCUUGCGACCGUACUCCCCAGGCGGGAUGCUUAACGCGUUAGCUUCGUUACUGAAAGGGUUAACUCUCUCAACAACAAGCAUCCAUCGUUUACGGCGUGGACUAC